CCGCAUUGCAACCCUAUGGCAACCCUCGUGUACACACAGAAGCCAAGCAAGAGAGAUGUACUUCCGCUUCGUCUGCUUCUUCCCACGGUCGUGCAGUCACGGGUACAGGUACCGAAACUAUGCCAUUUUCUACCAUGUUCCAGCGUGUGAUCUUGUUCUGCCUCAGUAUUCGUGUAGCACUGAAUUAUACCGCUAGUCAUUCGUCCUUGUGCACAACACGAAAAAUUGUGCUGAACACACAUGUGCACAGCACACACGUGCAAUCGUGCACAGCUGAAAAAAAGAAGAAAGUGAGCAGGAAAAAAAAAAAAAAAAACGGGGCCCAUGUCGUAUGUGUCACGUGAUCUUUGAGGCCCGGCAUGGGAGAACGCAGGGAAGGAAUUUCGCUUACGGAGGCUAGACAGGGCGAGUGGAGAGAGAGUCACUAUGCAGUGGAGCUUGCUUCCUGAAAUCAUGGGUUCGUGGCACUGAAAUAUUUUUAUCUCGGCUAUUAAUGAGCCGAUUUGAAAAACUUUUUGCGGCAGCAUGCUCCCUGGAGGGCACGUAACAACUUACAGCAUGUAACCAAAAUUUGCUAUGAGGCCUGGUGAGAGGCCCUUUAAAUGUUGUGAUCCCUAGUACGUAAAUUUAAACUGUAUUAAAAAAGCCAUCUUCUUUUUUCUUGCAUGAACGUUUUGAUCAUUAUGAAGUCCAGCAUGUGUAAUAGAUAGAACAGAACUGCAGCUAAUCAGUCUGCGAUAGAUUUCUUUAUCCAGACAAAUUUUUAAUCACUGAUUUGCACAAUUCCAGCUCACACAUUUGAAGUGCAAAUCUAAUGUGAACAAAGCUGUCACAUGGGCAUAGAGCUUAGUUAACAGCUUUGACAAACAUCACCUUAGUACUAGUGCUUUGAUUUUUCUCAUGUGACAUCUUCUUGUGGACAAAAUGAAUCUGGAGCAUUGUAUUGCGAUGAAAGGGUGCUUGAGGCCUGAUGUGAAAGUUCAAGAGCAAAUGUACUUAUUUAUUUAUUUAUUUAGUUAUUUAUUUAUUUAUUUAUUUAUUUCAAUACCUUCAAUGCCCAAAGGUGUUACAGAAAGGAGGGGGGGGGAAAUACAUAAUUGUUGUGAUUGUUGGUGGCUAGUAUAUACAAUAAUAAUUGUCAACAGUGGAUUUAAAUGCAGAAACACUUGGAAUGGUGACGACGGAGGUUGGCAGAUGGUUGCAUUCCCUCGAUGUCUUUGGCAAGAAUGAAUUGGAAAAUAAGUUAGUAUGGCAAAAAGGGAUUUCAACUUUAUGACGAUGAUUAGUACGACAAGACAAAUAAGAUGGCUCAUUAAGAACACUUUUCUAUGCAGAGAAAGGUUAGGAAGUUCCAAAAUGUGUUUCAUCGACGAUACAAUUGAAAAGCAGGAAUAAUUUGACAGAAUGAAACACACAUUACGGUUUUGUACUGAUUCUAAUUUAUUAUUAAAAAAUUCUUUACUGGGAUCCCACAAAGCGCAUGCAUAUUCAAGAUUAGACCUUACAAGUGUUUUGUAUAACAUUAAUUUAAGAGAAGAUGGUGCCCUUGAAAAUUUGCGGCGUAAGAAACCUAACGUGCGAUUAGCGUUGUUAACGACAUAGUUAACAUGGGUUUGCCAAGAAAGGUUAACAGUCAGGUGAACACCUAAAUACUUAUACGUGGUUACCUCGUCUAGUACAGAGCCAUCAAUGUGAUAAAGAGGAGGGUUACAAGUAGAAGCUUUUUGGGAGAUUCUCAUUACUUUACAUUUUUUAACAUUCAAAUGCAUUUGCCAUGCCUUGCACCAGUUAGUUAUAGCGUCGAGGUCAGAUUGAAGUGCUGCAAGAUCAGUGUCAGAUGAUAUGCGAUAAAUUACGCAGUGUUAGAUACGGACCCUUUUUCUGGCAUCACUCGAGUUCCCCAACCACAUCCAAUCCCCGGCGCAUUCCAAUUAAGGUGUGCAGAAGUGCAUCUAACACGUUCCCGGACCUGUCAGACAAGUUGGCGACCCCCACCUGAGGUGCCGCCCAUCGAGCUAUUGUCUCCAUCCCUGCUCGACUCUACCCGAAAAUGCAACGGGAGCCUGGCACCGUUCCAGGUAGUUGAUCCUGGUCCCGAGCAAAGCUGUUUUGCAACUUUUGCAAAAGCUCCUUCGAAAACAACCCGUCUCCUCCAGCUGAGCGCUUUCAGACCAAGAGGCAACACCAAGGCAACGCUGGUGACAAGUCAUCCGUCCAACAGUGGAGCCCUUGGAGCAACCCCGUCUGCCCAAUGUGACGGCACUUGCACGGGCGCCUACCAUUGGAGGAAAGUGACGACACCUGAGCGGCCUCGACGACUGGCCGAAAAUGAUGUGACCCCGAGAGACCAAAGAGUUUAAAAGCGACAGACAGGGAGAAGAGACAGGCAUUCCUUCAUUCAUUCAAUUUUUCAUUCUUCUUGCCACGGGCCGCAGCGUCCGAUUUGAUGCCGGCCAUCAAUGACUUUAUGACUGUUAAUUACUUUGUGUUAUUACUGUAAAUGAUGUAAAUAAACCUUCAGUUUCAUCUCAAAAUCGUCCUCAACAUCGGCCAACUCCCGCACUCAACGGCAAGAUCCAAUAGCAGUCAUCAGCGUAUAGCCUGAUGGAUGAUUGAACUACAUUAACCAGGUCGUUAAUGUAGACUAAAAAUAAAAGUGGGCCGAGGACAGAACCCUGCGGCACACCAGAAGUAUGGACAGGAAGAGGAAUCAAAAUUGUCAGCUGCCACAAAUUGCAUUCUAUUAGAAAGAAAAUUUUCAAUCCAGGCAAAAAUGUUAGGAUCGAUGUUUAAUUUGCUUAACUUUAAACAAAGUAGAGGGUGAGAGACAAGGUCAAACGCUUUCUGAAAAUCCAGGAAUAUGCAGUCGACAAAACACCCAUUUUCAAGAGCAGCGAAAAGUUCAUUGGUCAAGCAAAUUAGUUGCAUCUCACAGGAAAAUUAUUUAUGAAACCCAUGCUGUUUCGUAUCAAUUGCCUAUAGUGUUCCCUUGCAUGUACGAAAAGCCCUUAGCCCUUUCAAUGUACAAUACUCGUUUGACACUUGGGACUUGUGCAAGGCACUGUUUAGGAUUGUAAAUGCCUGUCCACUUUUGAUAAUUACCUUCAGAGUAGACUCGAGGAAAUUAACAAAACAUGAGUAAAUAAUAUGUUCUAAUAUUUUGUAAGGAAUGCUAGUUAAUGAUAUAGGUCUGUAGUUAUAUGGAGAAUUGACGUCACCAGACUUGAAAAGCGGUACCACGCCAGGUAACUGGGCAGAAGCGAUGGACUGUGAAAAAAGUUCUGUUAAUAGAAUAGAGGAGUACAUUGCAGUGUCCUUCAAAAAUUUUGAGUUGAUACUGUCCGUUCUGCAUGACGAAGACAAUUUCAACUUUUUCAUUAAGUGCGACACACCAAAACAAUCUAUAAGCACAGGAUCCAUUGGUGGGUAAAUCAUUCUGCAGUAUGCAGAUGACACUUGGGAAACAGCUGACACUUGGGAAAGAGACAUUGUGAACGUUUCGUUUAACAAGGAACAACAUUGAGAAAGUAGAACAGGGACACCAUCAUUAUUGUUUAAUGAGAUUGUACUGUCUUUAGGACCACCAGUUAUGUUCCAAAACUUCUUAGGAUUUUCUAUAAGUAAUGAUGGGAUAGUUUUAUUGAAAAACACAUCCUUAGCCGAUUUUUAAAACACUUAGCUCAGGUUCGAAGUGCACAUCACAACAAAAAGAGGCUAAGUGUAAGUUUCAGUUUCAAAUUAGUAUGCCUAUUAAGAAUGCCACCUGGAGGGAUAUUCAAAAGAGCAAAACUCAUUGGCAUGGCUUCAUUUAUUCGUGGCAGCGCAUUCAAGUUUGCUGUUUAUUAACAGGUGGAUGAAGAAGGCAAUUCUUGCAUUUUCGAGUCCCGAACAGUUGCAUGGCAAUGAUUGCCAAGCCUCACAACAUGGAGCCACCUCAGAAUUGCACCAAACAAAGAUGAUGGAUGCAGCCAGUGUUGCCAGAUAACUGCAUUUUGACUAUUCUGUGUUUGCAUUUCUUGUGCAAAAGAAAUUCUCGCAGAGAGUUUUAUCUUCAGUGGCCUGCAGUUGACGUCAUCUGCUACAGCUAGCGCAUGAGUUAACUCCAUAGUGUGCCACUAGGAUGGUGACACGGUGUCGUGGGAUGCUUUCUUAAAAGUGGACAAGAAGAUUCUAAAGGAAAAUGUGAGAUGAUCACAGUAAUAAUCAAGGCAUUUGGUAUGGGAAUGACCCAGCUCUGAAGGUAUUAUCACAUGUGGACAGGCAUUUAUAAUCCUAAACGUCGCUUUGCACAAGUCCCAAGUGUCAAAUGAGUAUUGUGCAUUGAAAGGACUAAGGGCUUUUCGUACAUGCAAGUGAACACUAUAGGCAAUUGAUAGCAGUUGCUUAGAUGUACCACAUUAACAGGAACCAAACGAACUCCCUUUGACAUAAGCAUGCAGCAAAUUCAAGGACUAAAUGAAGCUUCAAAGAAGUAACUGCAUUUCAUGUAGGAUAGGAGUGAAUUACCUUUGUGCACGAGAUUAGUGACAAAAACACUAAAUAAAUGCAGUGCAGUGUCUGUGUCAUAUCUGAUGCAGACCCAACUAGCCUGGAGUUUCAGCAUUUUUUGUCAGUUCAUUUAAAUAGGUAAUACAUUGUUCACAGUGCAAUAUUGCUCUACAAGGGGUAAUAUGCAAGAUGUAGCAUGCUAACCCUCGUGGCUCAACAACUACUGAACCGAAACCUCAAUGAGCAGUGGAGCUUCCUUGUAAUUUUCAUCAUAACCAUACUUUUGCUGUUGAAAGUGAACCUCUUUAGUGAAUUUGCUUGUGUAUUACUUUUUCUUUAGGCAAGUAUUUUUUUACAUGUUAAUGUCUCAAUCCUGCUUUCUCUUUCCAAAGCUAAAACAAAAUGCCUCUUAUUCAAUUUGACCUUUUCACCUAGGAAGCCGCCACCUGGCGCUCUGUACAGCAAGCACUUGCUUCAGGCAAGGAGGGAGCAAGCACCAUAUCUACAUCAGUGAGAACAUCAGUGCUGAAAAUAAAAAUUUUCUUUUCAAAUA